rnacentral:rRNA from 1 species
UACGUAGGGUGCAAGCGUUAUCCGGAAUUAUUGGGCGUAAAGAGCUCGUAGGCGGUCUGUCACGUCGGCUGUGAAAUCCCGAGGCUCAACCUCGGGUCUGCAGUCGAUACGGGCAAACUAGAGUACUGCAGGGGAGACUGGAAUUCCUGGUGUAGCGGUGAAAUGCGCAGAUAUCAGGAGGAACACCGGUGGCGAAGGCGGGUCUCUGGGCAGUAACUGACGCUGAGGAGCGAAAGCGUGGGGAGCGAACAGG